GAUCAUGGCUCAGGAUGAACGCUAGCGGCAGGCUUAACACAUGCAAGUCGAGGGGCAGCGGGGAGUAGCAAUACUCCGCCGGCGACCGGCGCACGGGUGCGUAACGCGUAUGCAACCUACCUUUAACAGGGGCAUAACAGUUAGAAAUGACUGCUAAUACCGCAUAAGACCACAGAGCCGCAUGGCUCAGUGGGAAAAACUCCGGUGGUAUGAGAUGGACCCGCGUCUGAUUAGG
rnacentral:rRNA from 1 species